GACGAACGCUGGCGGCGUGCUUAACACAUGCAAGUCGAACGGAAAGGCCCUGCUUUUGUGGGGUGCUCGAGUGGCGAACGGGUGAGUAACACGUGAGUAACCUGCCCUUGACUUUGGGAUAACUUCAGGAAACUGGGGCUAAUACCGGAUAGGAGCUCCUGCUGCAUGGUGGGGGUUGGAAAGUUUCGGCGGUUGGGGAUGGACUCGCGGCUUAUCAGCUUGUUGGUGGGGUAGUGGCUUACCAAGGCUUUGACGGGUAGCCGGCCUGGGAGGGUGACCGGCCACAUUGGGACUGAGAUACGGCCCAGACUCCUACGGGAGGCGGCAGUGGGGAGUAUUGCACAAUGGGCGGAAGCCUGAUGCAGCAACGCCGCGUGCGGGAUGACGGCCUUCGGGUUGUAAACCGCUUUCGCCUGUGACGAAGCGUGAGUGACGGUAAUGGGUAAAGAAGCACCGGCUAACUACGUG
rnacentral:rRNA from 1 species